UGCCCUUCCUCUCUUUCAAGGAAUAUUGCAGCCCUAAUUCUUCACCCCCUUCUCCCUCCCAACAGACUCCUAUUUAUACUCCAUAACCAACUCCUAUUUAUACUCUAACUAACUUUCUCUCUCCAUAACAAACUCCUACUUAUGCUCUAUUAUUUUAUUAUGGAAGCAUCUACUAACAAUAUUAAAACUAUUAAGGCUAUUCUCCCUAGCAC
rnacentral:lncRNA from 1 species